AUUGAACGCUGGCGGCAGGCUUAACACAUGCAAGUCGAGCGGAGAUGAGGUGCUUGCACCUUAUCUUAGCGGCGGACGGGUGAGUAAUGCUUAGGAAUCUGCCUAUUAGUGGGGGACAACAUUCCGAAAGGGAUGCUAAUACCGCAUACGUCCUACGAGAGAAAGCAGGGGAUCUUCGGACCUUGCGCUAAUAGCUGAGCCUAAGUCGGAUUAGCUAGUUGGUGGGGUAAAGGCCUACCAAGGCGACGAUCUGUAGCGGGUCUGAGAGGAUGAUCCGCCACACUGGGACUGAGACACGGCCCAGACUCCUACGGGAGGCAGCAGUGGGGAAUAUUGGACAAUGGGGGGAACCCUGAUCCAGCCAUGCCGCGUGUGUGAAGAAGGCCUUAUGGUUGUAAAGCACUUUAAGCGAGGAGGAGGCUACUGAGACUAAUACUCUUGGAUAGUGGACGUUACUCGCAGAAUAAGCACCGGCUAACUCUGUGCCAGCAGCCGCGGUAAAAC
rnacentral:rRNA from 1 species